CGCUAGGAAGCUAAACACCGGACAAAGCAUUGGCCUUUUAAGCCAAAGAUUGGUGAUUCCCGACCACCCCUAGUGA
rnacentral:tRNA from 1 species